CUACGUGCCAGCAGCCGCGGUAAUACGUAGGGUGCGAGCGUUAAUCGGAAUUACUGGGCGUAAAGCGAGCGCAGACGGUUACUUAAGCAGGAUGUGAAAUCCCCGGGCUCAACCUGGGAACUGCGUUCUGAACUGGGUGACUAGAGUGUGUCAGAGGGAGGUAGAAUUCCACGUGUAGCAGUGAAAUGCGUAGAGAUGUGGAGGAAUACCGAUGGCGAAGGCAGCCUCCUGGGAUAACACUGACGUUCAUGCUCGAAAGCGUGGGUAGCAAACAGGAUUAGAUACCCUGGUAGUCCACGCCCUAAACGAUGUCAAUUAGCUGUUGGGCAACUUGAUUGCUUAGUAGCGUAGCUAACGCGUGAAAUUGACCGCCUGGGGAGUACGGUCGCAAGAUUAAAACUCAAAGGAAUUGACGGGGACCCGCACAAGCAGCGGAGCAUGUGGUUUAAUUCGAAGCAACGCGAAGAACCUUACCAGGACUUGACAUCCC
rnacentral:rRNA from 1 species